rnacentral:lncRNA from 1 species
CACUCCCCUUCCUCCAGGCUUCUCAUCUGUAACUGGUGAAGCCUGGAAGAGCUUGUUGUUCAAGAGGAAAUCUUGUGUUACUUCUUUAUGAAGGACUCCAGCCUGGUGGAGAUGAAUGAGUCCUGAAGAUGGAAUCGAAGCUGUUUGGGCACAACAAGGUUUCACUCUUGUUGCCCAGGCUGGAGUGCAAUGGUGUGAUCUAGGCUCACUGCAACCUCCACCUCCUGGGUUCAAGUGAUUCUCCUGUCUCAGGCUCCCAAGUAGCUGGGAUUACAGUACUUUAAUCAGCAUUUAAUGACCUAGUCGAAAAUUCAUUGUUUGGACCCAAGCACUGGUGGGAAAGGCAGGAGGGGAGGCCUGCCUUGCUUCCUCCCUCCCGAGCCCUACAGCAGGGCAUGGAGUGGUGAGUGAGUUCAUACAGUGCCAGCCACAUUCCCAGAAACUUCCAGCAGAGGUUAAUCCUGCUCCUCUCAGGUGGGCUUGGCCCAUUCUCUAGACUUUGGAAGAUAAUGUUCUAUAGAGGCCUGUUCUGAAGCUUUACCAGGUCAAACUGGAGAAGAACCCAACAAGUAACUCAUCCCAGCCUAACUGUUCUUCAAGGGCAAUCAACCUACAGCAUCCAAGCACAGAGAAAUCAAAUCCAUGGAGAAUCUUCAAA